GACUGUUUGGGUGGGGAGGGAGUGGCUUACUUGGACCUCUCCAGGAAGGGAGUGAAAUUGGAAGACCUACUUCCAAGGUAGUGCUCAGUGCUUUGUAGGGGAGUGUGGGCUUGCCCUCUCCUGGUGUAGCCCUAGGCUUCCCUGCACACUAACUGGGCAGUUUCUAACGUGUUUCCUCAGGUGGUGUCCAGGCCUGACCUAGCCUCCCUUUAUAAGCUGGGUCCAAGCGUCCAUCAGGUGCAGAACCAAGAGCCUUGCUUCAUAUCAGACCAACUGGGACUGGUCCAUCUCAGCACUGAGGGACAAUCUAAACCUAACCACAAGUUAAACUAUUGGUGAUGAUGCUUUUGGGUACAGAUCUUGAUCAAAAGGGGAUAAUGUGAAGGCUCUUGAAGACAAUGUGGAGUCACAUCAGACCCAAACUACAAACCACAGUGGAGCCAGGAGGUCAUGAGAGGGGAUCUCACGCAUGUGUGACAGAGAAGAAGUAUUGCGAUAUCUUUCUACAUAUAUACCUGAGGUAAGAACUAGUGCAUGGACUGUCUGACAGCAUGAAACAUUUCCAGAUGAGCUGCUUCUGUGAAGACAACUUCCCAGAAACCAUUAGCAUUGCCUGUGACUAAUAACCAGCCCCUGUGGGGAGCCUUUCUGACUGAUAAACUUGUUUCCAGACAGUGGGUGUCAACUUCCUGCUUUAAUAAGCUCUGCCUUGCCCUCACCUCCUUGGAUAUUCCUAUGAUCUCAUUGUGCACAGAUCCUAGAUUAUAAUUCCUGUUCAUUCCCAGAUAUAUUUAGGUUUCUCCAGAGAGUUUCUCUCUCUUGUUUUGAAUAACAAUGUAAAUUCUCUGAAAGCAAGCAUUGUUUUUCUUAUCUCUGUAUCUGUCUUGUUUAGCACAGUGCCUGGCAUUUAGCAGGUACUUAAUAAAAGUUUAAUGAUCUUGUAAAAUGGC